GCUGGUCUGUGCCCUCGCUGUAGCAGGACUCUGCCCGAACAAAGCGGCAUUCAUGGGUCUACCCGGCCACUUCACACGCCACACUGUCACCAACAAAACUUCUGUGAGACUGUUAGUGAACUUUGUCAGGAGGACUCAGAGCCAUUGAAAGAAGCAUAAAAAGGUGCUGACUGUCUACUAACUGACUUCUGAGAAGAGAACCCUGCCACGCAAGCCCUGCUUCUUCAAGAACUUUAAGAGGACUGGUGGGAUGACUCAGGAGAGCAUUUAUAAACUGUAAGAACUUCGGGAACAAGUUGAUUUGCCCAGAAGAAGCUCAGACUAAAACCACCUCUAGGAGAAGGAGAGACCAGGAGGACAGAGACCAGUUGAGUCGCCUGGAAGGACACUCAGACCAAUUGAAGUACCUGGAAAGGACACUCUCCAACCCUUGAGCUGCCUUCAGGCUGUGCAAUACACUCUUUAAGUUUUCGGUUUUUAUGAGCUGUCACCCAUGAUGGGUGGGCUUGGGUGAUGCAGCUGUCACUGAGUCCCGUAAGUAAUCCCUCACCUGCAUUCCUGAAGGAACUUCAAUAAAACAAAGCAGUUUUGGUUC